GACGAAGCCCAGAGGCAGAAGAAAGUGCUGUCUGUGGUCAGGAAGGACGACGUUGAUGACUCGCGGUGACUCCACUUUGUUGGCAUCUGAACGGCGAUGAAAACAACCUUUCAGCAUUUUAUCGUCCAAUCAAGCAAUGCUAGACACAUGAAAAACACACUCCACCUUUUUUUCCCCCUUUUCCUACCAAAAAUACUUUCCUGACUAAAGAAGACAGGAAAAUAAACCUGAGUAUGUGGGAUUCUCAAGGAGAAAAAAAAUCCAGUCAGCCUUCCAGAAUGUUGAUGGAAGCCAAAGUCAACAUGGCAGAGGACAGUCAGAGAGACGGGGGGAAAGGCAAAAGACUGAAGAUGAGCUGCCUGUUUUUUAAUCACAAAUAGAUGGAUGGAUGUUUUGUGAUCUGCCUGGAUCAGAAAGAUAAAUGAUUUGAAAACGUUUUUUCAUGAUUCCUGUGGUUGCACAAGUGUGCACACCCUCCUAUAACUGGGGGAUUAACCAAUUACAUUCAAACUCAUGUCACACUUAUGCUAACAAUUUAUGAGCCUGUAAAAGGAUUAAGGUUGUUCCAGGAACAGAUUGUUUGUUUUUGUGCAAAUCUUUUUGUAAUCCUUCGGAGGACGGGGGGGGAGUCAUUUCCAUUAUAAUUAAAUUAUAAAUCAAAAACUCUUUUUGAAAAGGCGCUGGAGGCUCUUCUGUAGUUCUGAGAGAGAAGGAUUAAUUGUGAGGGCAGAGAUGGAUUUCAACUCCUGUGGAUAAAAUUCCACUGGAUUGAGAUCAUAUUGGCACAGACACACACAGGCGUACACACACACACACACACACACACACACACACACACACACACACACACACACACACACACACACACACACACACACACACACACACACACACACACACACACACACACACACACACACUCAACCACAGGAAUUUCUCCAAAACCUUCUAAAUGAAUUUGCCACAUUUAUACAUCCACCAUUAUCAGCUAUGACUCAAAACAAAGUGUCUGCUUUCACCCUUCUUCUCUUCUUCUGUCUUAUACUGAGAAAUGUGAACUUGGAAAUGUGCACAUCAAUAGAAGAAUGUUGUUUAUGCAUGAAAAACAACACCAUAUCCUGUAACUCACACAGGCAAAUAUACAAACAGACUCAGAAUGAGAGAAGGCAAUUAAAAGUCCCCGAUGAAA